CAGUCGCCACGGGAAUACGUAGGUGGCAAGCGUUGUCCGGAACUAUUGGGCGUAAAGGGCUCGCAGGCGGUUUCUUAAGUCUGAUGUGAAAGCCCCCGGCUCAACCGGGGAGGGUCAUUGGAAACUGGGAAACUUGAGUGCAGAAGAGGAGAGUGGAAUUCCACGUGUAGCGGUGAAAUGCGUAGAGAUGUGGAGGAACACCAGUGGCGAAGGCGACUCUCUGGUCUGUAACUGACGCUGAGGAGCGAAAGCGUGGGGAGCGAACAGGAUUAGAUACCCCCGUAGUCCCUGUCUCUUAUAC
rnacentral:rRNA from 1 species